rnacentral:rRNA from 1 species
AUCGCAUGAUGCAGUGUGAAAAACUCCGGUGGUAUAAGAUGGACCCGCGUUGGAUUAGCUAGUUGGUGAGGUAACGGCCCACCAAGGCGACGAUCCAUAGCCGACCUGAGAGGGUGACCGGCCACAUUGGGACUGAGACACGGCCCAAACUCCUACGGGAGGCAGCAGUGGGGAAUAUUGCACAAUGGGCGAAAGCCUGAUGCAGCGACGCCGCGUGAGCGAAGAAGUACUUCGGUAUGUAAAGCUCUAUCAGCAGGGAAGAUAAUGACGGUACCUGACUAAGAAGCACCGGCUAAAUACGUGCCAGCAGCCGCGGUAAUACGUAUGGUGCAAGCGUUAUCCGGAUUUACUGGGUGUAAAGGGAGCGCAGGCGGUGCGGCAAGUCUGAUGUGAAAGCCCGGGGCUCAACCCCGGUACUGCAUUGGAAACUGUCGUACUAGAGUGUCGGAGGGGUAAGCGGAAUUCCUAGUGUAGCGGUGAAAUGCGUAGAUAUUAGGAGGAACACCAGUGGCGAAGGCGGCUUACUGGACGAUAACUGACGCUGAGGCUCGAAAGCGUGGGGAGCAAACAGGA